UGCUGCGAUCAAAAAUCAUUUUGAAAUUCAUACAUGCAACCUAUUCGAUUUCUUACAAUUUUUACUAUGAUGUAGCAAAAAUAAGAAAUUUAGUAGCAUCUAAUAAGAAAUGCCACAAGCACUUUAUUGCCAAAAAUCAUUUUUAUUGUAGUAACAUAUAUCUAUUUGAUAUGAAUUCCUAGGGCAUCUUGAAUCCUACAUUCCUAUGAGCCACCUACCUCAUUGAGCAGAUGGACUUCAAAGAGGAGAAGCAGAGAAAGAUCUAUCUAUUCUUGCAUUUUCUUUUUUUCCAAAGGAUCCUGUGCAACAAUCAUCAAUGGCUUCUUGGGGAUCUCAAGAUACAGAUACAAGUUCUUAUUUCCUUUCUUCGGCAAAGGUGUGGCUGGGAAUACCAUCUCAUUUCCAAGAAGGAUACAUUCUGACGAUGCAUAUUCAUUACUGGGUAUGACUGCGACUGCUCUAUUGGUGUUCUAACUUUACCUAAAGCUACCAUGAUUCAAUUAUUAACGUGUUCUAUUUGUUAUCCAGCAAGUAAUUAAAAGAAUUCCUGUUAGAAAUUGUAACAUAUAAUCUAAGGUAUACUGCAUUCCUACUUUGGUUGUGGUUGCAUAUUAUUUCUGUUAAUGUAUGCACCUUUGUUCAACCAUUUCUUCCCUGGUUAGCACACAUACUCUGAAAAAGCUGGGAUUGGUGCAAAUGGUGUUCAGUACAUAUAAAAAUCCGGGAUUGGUAAUUCCAGUCUACGACCAGUUGUUGCCGGAGGAAGCUGUUUAUGAUGGACGGUUGAUAGUUUCAAUUGUUACCCCUAGCCAAAAGAGUACUCUUCAACCUAGUAAUCCAUCUUGGCAAAUUUACAUCUACAGAAAUCAUUAGAACAUCCUUCUAAGGAAAACAUGUACAAGAGAAAUCCAGAAGUUUGUUCCCCCUUGUCCGUCCAAAGCAAUUAUUAAGUAGCAUUGAUGGCACAAAAUUCUAGUUUUGUGGAGCUUUCUAGUCUGUGUCUCAUGUCGAUGUAAUGCAUUGUCAUUUUAUAAA